rfam:Gymnopus luxurians FD-317 M1 unplaced genomic scaffold GYMLTscaffold_44, whole genome shotgun sequence.
GGCCGACUAGCUCAGUUGGUUAGAGCGUCGUGCUAAUACACUAGCGUUAACGCGAAGGUCUUGGGUUCGAUCCCCACGUUGGCCA